rnacentral:lncRNA from 1 species
AGCCUUACGAGGCGAAUCAUCACAGAAUCUGGAAAUACAAAGCCUGGGCAGUUAAAGGGUUUCGCCAUUCGAAUCAAAUCAAUGGCGGGAAUUCGCAACAGAAAUAGAGACGCAACAAAGCAACUGGGAACGAUCAAGGUCACCGAACCGACCGUCAUUUCCGAACUAACAAUUGUUCUUUGUCUGAAAAGUUGAAACAUGUAUAAUCCAAGACAACCGUGCAAGAAGCAGGUGUCGCCCGAAGAGGAAGGUACACGGGUACAAGAAAUACUUUGGCAAUGAUGAAUUCACUCGAAAGGUAAGUUUCCACGAAACCCCCUUUUAUCUUCUACUAAAACAAGAAAAUUCAAAAAAAAAGAGGUCGCUUAGUAUUCUCGAACCUUUUUCCAUUCAGCCAGCAUUAGGGUUUUAAACCCUAAACUGAGCUUUUCCACGCAAUCAACAUUAGGGUUUUAAACCCUAAACUGAAUUUUCCAUUUCAGCCAGCAUUAGGGUUUUAAACCCUAAACUGAACUUUUCCUUUCAGCCAGCAUUAGGGUUCUAAACCCUAAAUUGAGCUUUUCCAUGCAAUCAGCAUUAGGGUUUUAAAUCCUAAACUGAAUUUUUUCCUUUUAGUCAGCAUUAGGGUUUUAAACCCUAAACUGAACUUUUCCUUUCAGCCAGCAUUAGGGUUUUAAACCCUAAACUGAGCUUUUCCAUGCAAUCAGCAUUAGGGUUUUAAACCCUAAACUGAAUUUGCCUUUUAGUCAGCAUUAGGGUUUUAAACCCUAAACUGAACUUUUUCCAUUUCAGCCAGCAUUAGGGUUUUAAACCCUAAACUGAGCUUUUCCAUUCAGUCAGCAUUAGGGUUUUAAACCCUAAACUGACUUUUUCCUUUAAUCAGCAUUAGGGUUUUAAACCCUAAACU